rnacentral:rRNA from 1 species
UUUUAGAUUAGAUCUCCAAUCAGGCAGGAUUACCCGCUGAACUUAAGCAUAUCAAUAAGCGGAGGAA